ACUCAAAUGAAUUGACGGGGACCCGCACAAGCGGUGGAGCAUGUGGAUUAAUUCGAUACUAACCGAAGAACCUUACCCAGGUUUGACAUCGAUUGUAAGCCCGAGAGAUCGGGCCCUCCCUCACAAGGGGACAUGAAGACACUUGUUGCAUGGCUGUCGUCAGCUCGUGCCGUGAGGUGUGCGGUUAAGUCCGUAAACGAGCGCAACCCUCGUCCUAUGUUGCCAGCGAGAAAGUCGGGAACUCAUAGGAGACCGCCGGUGUAAGCCGGAGGAAGGUGGGGAUGACGUCAAGUCAGCAUGGCAGUUACGCCUGGGGCUUCACACAUGCUACAAUGGGCGAAACAAUGGGCAGCAAUACCGCGAGGUGGAGCCAACCCCAAAAAUACGCCCCCAGUUCAGAUUGCAGUCUGCAACUCGACUGCAUGAAGGCGGAAUCGCUAGUAAACGCAGGUCAGCUAUACUGCGUUGAAUACGUUCCCGGGUCUUGUACACACCGCCCGU
rnacentral:rRNA from 1 species